rnacentral:ribozyme from 1 species
ACUAGUUUUUGGCUCUGCAAUGGGAUAGGAUCUCGAAGCCCCUCUGAGGGAUAACAUAGGCUCUCCUAUGCAAUUCCCAUCCGGACACGUCACAGUUCGUGCAGAGUGGUAA